UGGGGAAUAUUGCACAAUGGGCGCAAGCCUGAUGCAGCCAUGCCGCGUGUGUGAAGAAGGCCUUCGGGUUGUAAAGCACUUUCAGCGGGGAGGAAGGCGUUAAGGUUAAUAACCUUGGCGAUUGACGUUACCCACAGAAGAAGCACCGGCUAACUCCGUGCCAGCAGCCGCGGUAAUACGGAGGGUGCAAGCGUUAAUCGGAAUUACUGGGCGUAAAGCGCACGCAGGCGGUUGAUUGAGUCAGAUGUGAAAUCCCCGGGCUUAACCCGGGAAUUGCAUCUGAUACUGGUCAGCUAGAGUCUUGUAGAGGGGGGUAGAAUUCCAUGUGUAGCGGUGAAAUGCGUAGAGAUGUGGAGGAAUACCGGUGGCGAAGGCGGCCCCCUGGACAAAGACUGACGCUCAGGUGCGAAAGCGUGGGGAGCAAACAGG
rnacentral:rRNA from 1 species